GACGGGGGGGGGCAAGUGUUCUUCGGAAUGACUGGGCGUAAAGCGCACGUAGGUGGCUGGGUAAGUUGGAUGUGAAAUCCCCGGGCUUAACUUGGGAAUUGCAUUCAAGACUGCCUUGCUAGAGUGUGGAAGAGGGAAGCGGAAUUCCAGGUGUAGCGGUGAAAUGCGUAGAUAUCUGGAGGAACAUCAGUGGCGAAGGCGGCUUCCUGGUCCAACACUGACACUGAGGUGCGAAAGCGUGGGGAGCAAACAGG
rnacentral:rRNA from 1 species